UAAAGCUCUCAGCUCAGAAAGAGCCUAGAGCUGUCCAGCGGCGAACAACUCUCCUCUCCAGGUCCUGAGUUCCGCAGCAGCGAUCCCGGCCGGCGUUGCCUGGCCCGCAAGUCGACGCCAUGAGCAGCAAGAAGGAUAAGCUAUCCACUAAAGGCAAAUCAAAGACGCCAGUGAGAUUCCUACCACAGUUGCCUAUGGAUAAACUAUCCAGCAAAGAAAAGGUCAAGCUGCCGACAACAGUCUUACCACAGUUAUCUUUGGUAAUUUAUCUAUAUAAUUUCUAAAAUGUUACCAUUUGUACGCUUAAUUUUUUUAAAACCUACUUUUAAUAAGAGUUCUCAAAUGUUUUGAUUCUCCUUCCAGCCCACUGUCCAAAGGCAGGAGAGAAAAGAUGGUAAAUAGGACAGGGGGAUGUGGACCUGUUCACAAGUAGUUCUUUGGGGUCAUCUCCAUUUGUCAGGAUACUGGCAGUCCAGUUCAGUAGUGACAGGGUACCAAACAGGAAUCAGCAGCAAUGGCAUGAUCCAAAGAAACUGCCAGAUCUCUGUUGAAUGGACACCAGUCAGCAGGAAUACCAGAAUCAGCCAGGAGGCCAGGAGAAGUUCUCGGCUGUGCCUCUCUCAAUGAAUGGAAGAUCAAUGAAGAUGCAAGACCAAGGAAGAGGUGCAAAGUUAGCUAUGCAAGCAUCAUUACCUGCCAUUGAAUCUAAUUUAUACUCUCUCCAAACAUCACAUGUCCUACCACAGGACUUGCCUCGCAAAACACCACAUGAGUCUGUAUCACCUGACAUAUCCAGAAAUUUCCACUUCAGCAGUUUUCAAAGGUUUACUGGUUCCAAACUUAAAAU
rnacentral:lncRNA from 1 species